CACGUAGGGUGCGAGCGUUGUCCGGAAUUAUUGGGCGUAAAGAGCUCGUAGGCGGUGUGUCGCGUCGGCCGUGAAAACCUGCAGCUUAACUGUGGGCUUGCGGUCGAUACGGGCAUCACUGGAGUUCGGCAGGGGAGACUGGAAUUCCUGGUGUAGCGGUGAAAUGCGCAGAUAUCAGGAGGAACACCGGUGGCGAAGGCGGGUCUCUGGGCAGUAACUGACGCUCAUGUACGAAAGCGUGGGGAGCAAACAGG
rnacentral:rRNA from 1 species